rnacentral:tRNA from 2 species
GCCGCGGUCGUCUAGCCCGGUCAGCCCUGGCGGGGUCGAAAGGAUACGGGCCUCUCGAGCCCGUGACCCGGGUUCAAAUCCCGGCCGCGGCA